rnacentral:lncRNA from 1 species
UUAAUCAAAUCAAACAUGCAUAAAACUUCUAUUAAUUACAACUUUAUAGAACAUAUUCGUGGAUUGGAACUGGAAAAUAGCUACUGAAGCUUUCAAUUUACCAAAUUUUCAUGAAUCUUAAGUACUGAAUGUUGCUACAUAACUGUCCAAUGAACAGUCCUUUAAAUGUUCAAACAAGCUAAUAAAUCUACCAGUUUCCUAUUGAGAUGAAUUGUAGCAUGAUUCUCAAAAUACUAUCAUUACACUAAAUUCAUAGAAAUCAUAUUGAAAUGAACUAAUAUCUGUCAAUUAAAGCUUUGAAAGAUCUCAUUUCCAUUUCUCGAUUCAAACUUGGAGGUCACAUUUGUAUGAAUUACAGGGGUGUGUACAUGAUAUUGAGUGAACAAGGAAACAAAGGCAAAUCAACAGCGUUAAACAACAGAGAUCGACAAAACCAGUAGAAUCUCAGCAGCUAAUCAGCAAUCAACGAGCAACCCAGUAGGAUUCAAAAACAAAUGGAACACCACAACCAAAAACAACUUCAAAUAACAGCUAAACCACCAGUAUGUUCAACCAAUACCAGUAAAUGAGAAUCAACUCCCAAAAUGUCCUAAAUGUUUAAAUAUCUAGGCAGAAUCAACUCAUUUUAACCCCGAAUGCUUUGGAUUUGUUUGGAAGGUGAGAAUCUUAGAAGGCUCAAUAGAACAAUAAUUUUUGAGAAAUUUCUGCUAUUUUGUUUGUUGUUCAGAAGAUCUAAGAUCUAAAAUGAGCUUUCAAACUCUCAUAUUUCAUUUUUUGAUUUUUGGGAUUUGAAUUUCAAAUUUCACUCUUCUAACUCUAAACUUUGAAUUUUUUGAGUUUCAAUUUUUGGAUUUCUC